AAAGUGGGUCGGACGAUCGCUGGGGCCGAAAGGCCAUCAGAGGAAGGUCCGGACUCCAUUGGAUAGGGUGCUGGCUAACGGCCAGGCGCAGCGAGUUGCGGUUGUCUUCGGUCAGCCAAAACCCAAGGCGACGGAAAGUGGCACAGAAAACAAACCGCCCGCUGGGUUUCGGCCCCGCGGGUAAGGGUGAAAAGGUGGGGUAAGAGCCCACCGCGGCGCUGGUGACAGCGCUGGCAGGCUAA
rnacentral:RNase_P_RNA from 1 species